UCUCAAAUACAGAUAUGAUCCCAUUGUGCCACUCAGCUGCUACAAAUGAACCAUAACCCAGCUGAAAAUUGCUGGCAGAGGAUUUUCUGUCUUCAGUGAAUUCUCUUCUGACAUAUAUAUAUCAUUCCCAGGCAGUAUAGUUUUAUCUCUUCACUGUGAAAAGGCAUAUCUCAAGAGUAAGAAAGUUCAUGGUAUAGUCUUGCUAUACUCUUUCUCUAGUGAUAUAAAAACCCUACCAAAGUUCUGAAGCAGAAGUAGAAUUGGACCAAGGAACUCAAAAGAGUUGAGACACGCUCAGACCCUUCAUAUCUUUUAUGCCCUGUGUUGAAUCAGUCACAAGACAUCGAAAAACUCUUCACCCACCUGGUUCCUGGGAGACUAAUCAGAGUUGUGUCAUUGGGAUAAUCCUUUUUAUUCUUCAUUUGAAGUUGCCAUUCACUAAAAAGGAGUGAAAAAAGUGUCAUGAAGGGAGCUUUCUAAAUUUCCAGUGAUAAGUAAUUGAUAGCAAUUUAAAAAGACUUGCCAAGGAGACAGUUGGAGCAGCAAGCCCAUCAGUAGAGGAAGGUCUUAGCAUGCACCAUCAUCUACUGUCGUCCUUCUACUUAUCAGUUUGCCAAGUAGCCAGAACAAUUGGACAAGAA